rnacentral:rRNA from 1 species
AGUUUGAUCCUGGCUCAGAGUGAACGCUGGCGGUAGGCCUAACACAUGCAAGUCGAACGGCAGCACAGUAAGAGCUUGCUCUUACGGGUGGCGAGUGGCGGACGGGUGAGGAAUACAUCGGAAUCUACUUUUUCGUGGGGGAUAACGUAGGGAAACUUACGCUAAUACCGCAUACGACCUACGGGUGAAAGCAGGGGAUCUUCGGACCUUGCGCGAUUGAAUGAGCCGAUGUCGGAUUAGCUAGUUGGCGGGGUAAAGGCCACCAAGGCGACGAUCCGUAGCUGGUCUGAGAGGAUGAUCAGCCACACUGGAACUGAGACACGGUCCAGACUCCUACGGGAGGCAGCAGUGGGGAAUAUUGGACAAUGGGCGCAAGCCUGAUCCAGCCAUACCGCGUGGGUGAAGAAGGCCUUCGGUUG